rnacentral:rRNA from 1 species
CCUACGGGGGACAGCAGUGGGGGAUAUUGCACAAUGGGGGAAACCCUGAUGCAGCGACGCCGCGUGGGUGAAGAAGCGCCUCGGCGCGUAAAGCCCUGUCAGCAGGGAAGAAAAUGACGGUACCUGAAGAAGAAGCCCCGGCUAACGAAGUGCCAGCAGCCGCGGUAAUACGUAGGGGGCAAGCGUUAUCCGGAUUUACUGGGUGUAAAGGGGGCGCAGACGGCGAUGCAAGCCAGGAGUGAAAGCCCGGGGCCCAACCCCGGGACUGCUCUUGGAACUGCGUGGCUAGAGUGCAGGAGGGGCAGGCGGAAUUCCUAGUGUAGCGGUGAAAUGCGUAGAUAUUAGGAGGAACACCAGUGGCGAAGGCGGCCUACUGGACGGUGACUGACGCUGAGGCUCGAAAGCGUGGGGAGCGAACAGGAUUAGAUACCCUUGUAGUC